CCCAGCAGCCAUAUCACCCUGCAACUCACAGCUGGCCGCCCACUGAAGGUCAGCAGGUGGGAGCCUGGUCAGUACUUGAAUGGGAGACCUCCUGAGAAACACUAAGAUUGCUGCUGGAA
rfam:Lepisosteus oculatus linkage group LG22, whole genome shotgun sequence.